CCGUGCCCCGAGGCGCGCACAGGUCUCCCCACGCCUGACCUUCGGGGUCCCCCGUGCCCCGAGGCGCGCACAGGUCUCCCCACGCCUGCCCUUCGGGGUCCCCCGUGCCCCGAGGCGCGCACAGGUCUCCCCACGCCUGCCCUUCGGGGUCCCCCGUGCCCCGAGGCGCGCACAGGUCUCCCCACGCCUGCCCUUCGGGGUCCCCCGUGCCCCGAGGCGCGCACAGGUCUCCCCACGCCUGCCCUUCGGGGUCCCCCGUGCCCCGAGGCGCGCACAGGUCUCCCCACGCCUGCCCUUCGGGGUCCCCCUGCCCCGCGGCGCGCAUACGUCUCCCCACGCCUGCCCUUCGGGGUCCCCCGUGCCCCGAGGUGGUCUCGCAGUGUUGAGAGGAAGUCUCGGGUGGUGUCCUUCCAGUGUUAAUGUGCACACAAGUCAUCUCGGGAGCUCGUGGAAAUCCGGAUUCAGGAGAUCUGGAGUGCGGCCUCUGCAUUUCUAGCAAGCCCCAGGGGAUGCCAGUGACAAAAGCUGCUGGUCUGAAGGCUACCUGUGAGUAGCAAAGACAGACGAAGGGCAUCGGCUCCAGAAUCAGGCGAACUGAACUUAGGGAGGAUUCCAUGUUGUGGAUCCAGGGCCACCUUGGCUAGAGCCCAGCAUUUUCAGACGCCAGGCACCUGCCGACAUCACAAGAAGGUGAGAGGUAGUGGGGCUUGUGGCAGAGAUGGAACAAGAAGCAGUUAAAAACUGGCCUGGCACGAGGUCACCCCCAGCCUGCACCUUUUCCAACUUCCACAACUGUCCUUCAUUCUGUCCCUCUUCAGAAAGCAGCUGUGUGACUUUCUCAUCAUCACAAAAUGAAGGCUCUAAAGCCUAUGAUUGUCUUCUAAGCUCUGUCGAAGUCACAUAUGCUCCUCUCUCUUCAUUCGUGACGCCUUCCUGGGGCCCCUCCAGCAGGGCAUGAUGCCAGGUGAGGCAGGAGGGAGCCCUGUCCUUGGGAGCUUCACAGCCUGCCUGUGGAGAGGAGACAACUCCUAGAGCGUUGCUGGAGGUGGUGUGAGUGCUCAGGCCCCACAGACCAGAGAAAGGUCUGGCUUUCAGUCUGGGGGAUGACAUGAUUGUAACUGUAUCUUGAGCAAAGGUCAUGGGUCACAUGGAUGAGUUGGAGCAGGGAGACCCCUAAAAGGUUGUCACGGUAGUCUGUAACCUCUGUUGUCUGCUGCAGCCUAGAUGGUGACAUCUGUCAUCUAUAGACUGUGAUAGCGUGUCGUCUGUCGACCCUGACAGCCUGCGUCCGUCGUCUCUAGACCAUGGUGGUCUGCGUCACCUGUGUCUUCUGUAGACCAGGAUGGCCCAUGUCAUCUGUCAACUGUGACAGCCCGUGUCUGUCGUCUAUAGACCAUGACAAUCUGUGUCAUCUGUAGGCCAGGACGGUCCGUGUCCUCUGUCAUCUGUUAACCGUGACAGCCCGUGUCUGUCGUCUCUAGACCAUGACAAUCUGUGUCAUCUGUAGGCCAGGACGGUCCGUGUCGUCUGUUGUCUGGAUUAUGACGUCUGUAUCCUCUGUAGACGUGGUCUGUGACAUCGGUCAUCUCUAUAACACAGACUGUGGUGGUCUAUAAUGAAAGUUCUGGACCAGCAUCGGAGGGUCAGCAAAGGGAAUCUGAGGCCUCGAGAAGUCUAUGGGAAGAAAACAUGACGUGUUGAGGCCUUGGGGUCAGGACUGAGGAGACGAGAUGGGUAAACAAUCGUGGCAGAUUCCGCUCCUAAGAAUUCUAGAAAGUGCCAGCAACCGACCUGUGUGACAGAAGGCAGCUGCGUGGUUGCCUGGGACGGGGCUGGGCUGGGGGAGACAGACGGGGCAGGAGGCGGCUGCCUGGGUGUGUCUGUCACAUGGAUCAGACCACGGCCUUACAUGUGUGUGCAGGUGUCCUGACUCAUCGGCUCACACACUCACGUAUGUGCACUUGGUUGUAUGCCAGUCACCGCUCAGUACGGCUGCCUAGUGAUGCCAUGAUUUCAUGUGUGUGAGCCACCAGGUGGGUGGUUAUGAACUGAGGGGUCUGGUAACUGUGUUAGAUUGAUUGACCUGAGUGGGUUCCCCCUGAUGUCAGAAGACAACUAACAUGCUCAUCAUGUCAGGAUCACAGACACUGUCUUUGCUGACCAGCUCGUCUAAAAAUAUUUGCCCUUUGAUUUCUGAACCAAAAUGAGCUUUUUGAAUGAGGCAUAAACCUGGAGCAUGGCGUGCAGCUCUGUGCUGACAGAGCCGAGGUGACAGUGGGGCAUGUCACUAAGGAGCGCUGGGCUCCCUCCGUCUGGAGUCAUCUGACUGUCCGUGUCCUCGUCACCUGUCCUCGGAUGCAGGACCAGCCAUGUCACUGCAGGGCUCCGUGCAAGUUUAAAGUGUGGGUCCCCUGUCCAAAAAGUAGGAAGAAUUUUGAGAUGAGCCCGGCAGAGCAUUCACCCGAGUGUGGGGCCCUCCACGUCGGGGUCCAUGCCAGGGUCUGACCCACCAACAGGGGCUCAGGAGGAAUGGCGUCUGCGUGCACCGUGGUCUGAGCCUACCCCUGUCUUGUCUGCACGGUCCCAGCUCUUCCCUUUGAGAUUACUGGUGUUUUUCUCAAAACUGUGGGACUCCGCUCAUAGGGCUCAUGUCCACCAUGACGCAGGCAGAGCGGUCAAGUUUGCAUCUCCACUCUCCCUCUGGCCGCUGGGUGCUCCCGUUUCUUCCUGAGCCCUGUUCAUCGGGGCUGCUAAGGGGGGGUGUGCCGGGCACGGAGCAGGUGCUCACUGUCUGCCUUCCUCCAUCAGCAGAGAGAGGAUACGACAGGACUUCGUGUACAGGUUUUUAUUUUCAUUUUAUUGGGUUUUUUAUGAUUUUAUUUAUUUAAGAGAGAGAGACAGAUUGAGAGCAUGAGAGGGGAGAAGGGCAGAGGGAGAAGCUGACUCCCCACUGAGCAGGGAGCCCGAUGCAGGACUCAAUCCCAGGACGCUGGGAUCAUGACCUGAGCCGAAGGCAGAUGCUCAACCAACUGUGCCACCCAGGUGCCCAUAUGUACAGGUUUUUAAUGCGUGUUUUAUUUAUUUAUGCUUUGGGGUUAGUCUUGGGGAUGCAUGAGGUGCAUCGUGAGGCAUGUGUGUGGGGGCAGCCAGGGGAAGGUGCCGAAGACAAGGAGCAGGGAGACGUGGAUUCCUAAGCCUGCUCCAGGGAAGGCUGGCAGUUGCCUGUCCUCACGUGCAAGAGCAAGGCGCUUGCCUAACCUGAGGCCCACCUGUCCCUGCACGGCUGCUCUCCAGCAAGAACGGGGUCUGAGAAUUCUGGUGCCUGGGGGGUCAUGGCGGCGGUCCGCUGUUUAAAUAAGAUGACACGGUUUUUUGAUUUUGUGUUUUUUUAAAGAUUUUAUUUAUUUAUAUAUUUGACAGCGAGACAGCGAGAGAGGGAACACAAGCAGGGGGAGUGGGAGGGGGAGAAGCAGGCUUCCCGCCGAGCAGGGAGCCGAUGCGGGGCUCGAUCCCAGGACCCUGAGAUCGUGACCUGAGCCAAAGGCAGAUGCUCAACGACUGAGCCACCUAGGCAUCCCAAGAUUACACGGUUUUGAAAGGGAGCACUCGGGCUGAGUUGCCCUCUGAAAAUGUACAUGUUGCCAUCCUGACCCCCAGGACCUCAAGAUGUGACUCUAUUUGGAGAGAGGGUCUUUAAAGAGGUGAUUAAGUUAAAGUGAGGUCAGUAGGGUGGACCCUGAUCCCAGUGACGGGGACAUGAGGAAAUCAGGCACAGACGUGCACCGAGGGAGGACCACACGAGGACAUGGGGAGAAGAUGGGAAGAUGCCAGUCUGCAGGCCACAUAGAGAGGCCUCAGCAGGGACGAGCCUGCCCACACCUUCGUCUGGGACCUGCAACCCCCAGGAUGGGGGGAGAGUGAGUAUCUGGGCUCUCAGCCCCAGCAACCCGGAGUUAAAACGCACUGUAGUCCCCAGGUUCUCGGGAAGAGGGCGUUCUGCAGGCUGGUCCGUGUAUGCUUCACUGAAGACGGUGACUGGGGCCUCUCACCUAGCCCUGCACACACCUGCAAGAGCAGGUGUCUGGCUAGUCUUGGGAGGUGCCUGCGAGCUGUACCUGCUAGCAUCUUGCUGUUGGUCUUUCCCUGAAAGGUUUUUGGUUCCAGCAGGAACAGUUUAAGGUCUCAUUGUAAACCAGAAGGACCAGAGCUGUGAGUCACACAGUGUGGAGGGUUGAGUAUCAGGCACUUGCUGCGUGUCCAGUGCUGUGCCAGGCAGGUUACCUGCUACCUGUUUGGUCCCCAAGCCCAGCACUGAGUGGCAUUGUCAUACCUGGCUCAGGAGAAAUCCUUUCCAAAUCUGCCUUUGGACUCGUUGAGUCCUGGCUGCUACCCUUGGACCUCCCCCUUCUCUGUUCUUCCUUGCCUUUCUGUCCUGUUUCUCAAAACCUGGUCAGCUCGGUGAGAUUCCGAGCAUCCUGCUGUCCUUACGUGACUUUCCAGCCCCCCCUCCCUCUGCUUACAACCCCUUCUCUUUCACUGGGCAGGGGUGAGGAGAACCCCGCUUCCAAUGAUCGAGUCCCAGACCUAGGACAGUUUUCCUCCAGGACCUGGGGCGGCUCCCCUUCCUGCACGUCCCCAGCUGCCCUCCAGCCAUCUCCGCACACCCAGGCCUGCCGCUGAAAGAACAGCCUCUGCAUCCUAAUCUCUACUCUUUUUCUGAUUUCCAAGAGAAAGGAAAGCCUCAGAAUGUCUUACUGAGCAGCAACAUGGUUUAGUAGCUGAGAUCAUAGGCUCUGAAGCCAGAGUGCGUGGGUUUAAAUCCCAGCCGCCACUGACAGGCUGCGUGCCCUCUCUAGUGGAAGAGAAAGGCCUGGUAGGGCCCUGCCGAUGUCACGCCCAUGGCAGUCCGCAGUGGCCCCAGAAGCGCUCAAGUACGUGACACCACCUUCCAGAAGAAACAGUGGUCGGGUGGUUAAAUCAGUGAGUGAGUGGCAUAGCUUCUUCCGUGGCCUCCGGUUCUCCGAAAUGAGCUCACAGGCACCCUCACUCACUGCAUGCACACGGCUUGGAAGCCUUGUUAGCUGGGGCCAGCCGGCUGGUGUCUCCCUGCCGGUGCCGCUCACGGUGGAGACUAUCUCCUCCACCGCCUUCAUCGCCUGCUUGCUGACGCCUGCCUGCUGUGUCUGCACCACAGCCAGCCUGGGGGGGGCACAGCAGGCUGCUCGCCUGCCCCCGGGCCUGAUCAUGGUCCCCACGUUUGUGCCGAGGCUGGCAGCUUCCUUUCCAAGGAUGAGAAAAGGCCAUGACUGUGAGAUUAGCCACCGGAAAUGGACUGAAGAAAACAAAAAUAAAGGCUGGUUUAGACUGAGCCUUGGCCUGUUCUCUGUUCCUUCAUUCCCUUUCUUUUUUUAAGUAGGCUCCAUGCCCAGCAUGGGGCUCGAACUCACGACCCUGAGAUUAAGAGUUGUGUGCCAGACUGAGCCAGCCAGGCACGCCUUCCUUCAUUCCUUGGGUUUGUUGAGCACUUGUCCCGAUCAGAUACCGGCCAGGCACGUGGGGCACAGAGUUGCUCCUGUUCAGUGGGGUUUAGGGUAGAAGGUGGCUUCCCACAGGAUGCCACGGAUCGUGGUCUUGAACGUGAGGCUGCCGGGGUGCUGCACUGGGGACGGGGGAGGUGGGUGUGGGUAGAAGAUGGGAGCAGGGCCCAGGAGGAGCCGUCACUGGGAGCAUCACUGAGAGCGCAGGGCCUGAGCUGAGAGGGUGGCGGGAGGACAGAAAGGAAGAGCCUGGUGCAUGUGAGUAAGUGCACACCAGGGAAGCAGGGGGCCCCCCUGGGGCAGCGACUGGGGCGUCUCUCACUGCAUGUAUGUGAGGAGUCACGUGGCCUCAGGAUUGUUUCCAGGGUCGGUGGGUAAAAGCAGAAAACACGUAGUCUGAGUUACCCCAGAUAACCCCUUAACAUCCCCCGUGAGGCCGAGCGGACACCUCUCGCUGCACCUGGUGCAAGCUUCUCUUGUAGCGCCCGGCCGGCCGGCGUCCGUGCACCCCCACGGGUUCCUGCUCCCACACCAGGACUACACGUGGGAGCGUGGUUCUCCAGCUGCGUCUCAGUGCUUUCCUGCUCCAGGCUCAGCACCCGAGAGCUGUGUGUAUGCGGUUCCUCUACAUUUACCUAUGUUAGGAACUAAAAUGAUGUUUUAAAGAUUUGCUAACUGCGUUCAUUUAGAAUCAUCAAUAAGAAACCUACCAUGUGGUAACACAUUUGUGUGAAAAAGAAUAAUUUUCCAAAACAGAGUUUUAGGAGAGUAGAAUUGUUUUGCAUUGUUGCAAAUCUGGAUGUCUGGUGUCCUGGAUGGAGCGGCCCAGCUGCCCCGUCUGCCCGACCCCCACAGACGUGGGGACAGAAACAUGCCCCAGCAGCCUCCGGAUACCUGGGGCUCAUAUUUGGUGGCAUUGCCUCCAGGUGAGCUGCGAUGUGGCAUCUGACCGGUCAGUGAACGCCUCCCGUGCUCCAUUCCAUGGAAAUAGUCCUGUGCUUGGGGUCUCUGGCUCAGGUGGGAUGUUGGAGCAUCUGCAUCAGUCAUUGGGAAAAUACUGGUUCACUGAUUUACCCGGAACGUCCACAUGUUGACGUUUCAUUUUAUAAUUAAAAAAAUCAUUUUCUCAUCAGAAAAGUCUUUAAGCAUGAGAGCUGCCAAAAGAUAGAAAGCUUCUGAAAUGGUCAUUUUUCUCUUAAACGUGUAGGUGUUAUCAUGGGCAAGGACUCCUGUUCGUUCUCCGUGAGGUGACAGGCUGCCUUGGUUCUUUUCUGACAAGAUGCCUGCAGGUGCCCAGGCCUGCGUCUCCAUGGUGUGUGCCCUCCCCCGGUGGCCGGGGCUCUGUGCACACUUCCCAUUUCUUCACUCGGAACACAGCCGAGACCAGGACCCAGGGUUGAGGUUGAAUACAAUUCCGGGUGUCCUUAGGCUGCAUGUGAUUUCCGUGAGUGUGUGGUGGGGACGUGCCAGGGCCCUGGGGCAGCGAGCUGGCUGGCCCGUGCCGAGAUGCCAGCACAAAAGCCCCCGCUGCUUCUGCACCAUCAGCGUGUGCGCCCCACCGUGAGGGGUCUCCCACGCAGUCGCCGUGGGGGGAGGCCUGCAGACCACUUGUGUGGGUUCUGAGAGGGGGGCAGGGACAGCCCACCGUGGUCACUGGAGCCACGGGACAGCAGGCGCGCCUCAGCUCAUGCUCAGCAGAGGAACCGGCAGUGGGCUUGGGCGCGGACUGUUCUCAACCCCAGCCUCCUUUUGGCCGAUUCUGAACACUUGCCUUCCCGAGGUGAACGUGCAGUUUUCAGAGUCCCCUUUGGCUCCAAGACCGCCUUCCUUACACACUCUCAUUUCCGAGGUCAUGGUUUCACUGUCUGGAGCCCAGGCCUGCUCCCAGGGGAGGGAAAGCGGGGCUGGCGUCCUGAGCUAGGCAAGCCAUGUGAUUACACGUCUUCCUGAAGGACCCGUGAUGGCUGGGUCUUUACAGGAAAACAGAAGAGAGGCCCCGAGGGGCAGCGGUGCCGGGAGAUGGGGGCGGGGGGCGGUGGAUGCCCUCAGGGCAGCCUGGGGGUCGGGCUGGCAGCAUGGAUGGACGAUGUGGGGAGGCAGCCCCGAACUCUUGCACCUACCAGAGACGUACGUGCCCAGCCGCCGUGACGGACCCUGAGCCUCUGCCCCUCAGCCCUCCCGCCCUUGGCACCACUGUGUGCUCGAGCCCCUGCCGUGUCUGCUGGGCCCUGAGGACGCCCUUAGCAGCGCAGGCAGUUGGGAGGGGAGAUCAGGAGCCAGAACUCGGUGGUCGGGAAGUGCAUGCAGCUUCUAAGAGGAGGUGAAGGUGGACGGUUUCUCUAAAGUUAGCCGUUUGGUUUUAUUUGAGGCAUCCUAAGUGUCUUUUUUUUUUUUUUUUUUUUUGCUAUUAUAUGUAUUUGGCACUCCCCUGAGUUGUGAAAUAGAGUUUAGCAUGAUUCCUUUUUACAGAAGCAGAAGCUAAGGCUUUAUAGUGGGAUUGGCUCUGCUGGGAUCAGAACGCCUCACUUGGGAACCAGGCCAGGACACCUGAUUGCCAGUGAGUCCCACAGACUCCCCCGCCCGGGGGCGCCCUGCUGUCCCAGCCUCCUUGGAGCCCUUGAGUCUUGGCAGUGCCCUCCCUGGAAUGUCAUGCCGUCCGCAAGUGAUAGAGGCCUGGAAACUUUUGUUCCAUUGAACUUUGCCAGCGAGCUAUACUUAGCCACCAAGUGGAGGCCAGGAGUGGGUUCUCUGAGUAUAGAUAGUAGCAAGUGGGCUAUUUUCAAACUUCCAGAGAACCCCCCCCCCCAGAAUAUUCUGGGCCCAAAUGAUAUUUAUGGAACUCUCUGGGCUUUUGGAAGGGAAGGCAUAACCUUAGUGUGUCUGCAGCUUCAGGAGAGAGGUUUCCUUGACGGGGGGCGGGGCAGGGGACCGGGCCACUGAGAAACUGGGUGUCCCUCUCACACCUGUUUCCAGGACCUGAGCCCGUGGAGGCCGGGCGCUGGCAUCUGAGUCCGAGAACAGUGGUUUUCCUGGCCGGGUAUCUGGUGCUGACCCUGUCCAUGGCCCUCAUGCUGCUAUCCAGGGGCACCUCUCAUGCUGAAAGACGGGGUCCCCAACCUUGGAGGGCUCGUUACAUGGUUUUCCUCUUGUCCGGAAUCCUCGCUGAUCUCUUAGGCUUCUGCUUUUCUCCAGACAUAACGGGCUGCAACCAUAGCACCACUCCCAGCUCCUCAGCCCCAGGGCCUCUGGUCCCUCUUCCACUUGAU